rnacentral:rRNA from 1 species
GAUGAACGCUAGCGGCAGGCCUAAUACAUGCAAGUCGGACGGGAUUCAGGAGCUUGCUUCUGAUGAGAGUGGCGCACGGGUGCGUAACACGUAUGUAACCUACCUUUAUCAGGGGGAUAGCCUCUCGAAAGAGAGAUUAAGCCCGCAUAAAAUCACAGCACAGCAUUGUGUAAUGAUCAAAUAUUUAUAGGAUAAAGAUGGGCAUGCGGAACAUUAGCUAGAUGGCGGGGUAACGGCCCACCAUGGCGACGAUGUUUAGGGGAUCUGAGAGGAUGGCCCCCCACACGGGUACUGAGACACGGACCAGACGCCUACGGGAGGCAGCAGUAAGGAAUAGUGGUCAAUGGGCGGAAGCCUGAACCAGCCAUGCCGCGUGCAGGAAGACGGCCCUACGGGUUGUAAACUGCUUUUAUACGGGAAUAAACCCAGAUACGUGUAUCUGGCUGAAUGUACUGUAAGAAUAAGGAUCGGCUAACUCCGUG